GAAAGAUUCUUUUGUAUCGGUUAAUAACGUGGGCCGCAAAAAAUGAUUUGGGGAAAAAAGGUGUUUUUUGAAGCGGGGACGGGUAGUAACCCAGAAUUGGCCUGGAGGGGGAAUACGUUGGAAAAGGAGGNAAUACCGAAAACGUCCGACGGGAGUAAGCAGGGACCUUNGGCCCUGGGGGUAUCAAAUGAGCCUAGGUUGGAUUAGNUAGUUGGUGGGGUANGGCUCACCAAGGGGACGAUCNGUUACGGGUNUGAGAGGAUGAUCAGUCACACGGAANUGAGACCACGGUCCAACUCCUACGGGAGGCAGCAGUGGGGGAAUAUUGGACAAUGGGCGAAAGCCUGAUCCAGCCAUGCCGCGUGUGUGAAGAAGGUCUUCGGAUUGUAAAGCACUUUAAGUUGGGAGGAAGGGUUGUAGAUUAAUACUCUGCAAUUUUGACGUUACCGACAGAAUAAGCACCGGCUAACUCUGUGCCAGCAGCCGCGGUAAUACAGAGGGUGCAAGAAAAAUAAUCGGAAUUACUGGGCGUAAAGCGCGCGUAGGUGGUUUGUUAAGUUGGAUGUGAAAUCCCCGGGCUCAACCUGGGAACUGCAUUCAAAACUGACUGACUAGAGUAUGGUAGAGGGUGGUGGAAUUUCCUGUGUAGCGGUGAAAUGCGUAGAUAUAGGAAGGAACACCAGUGGCGAAGGCGACCACCUGGACUAAUACUGACACUGAGGUGCGAAAGCGUGGGGAGCAAACAGGAUAGAAACCUGGUAAGUACCAGCCGUCAAACGUAGUCAAUNGCCGUGGNUUGCCUGGUUUCUNUGAGGGGCGUCCAAACUAAUGAAGUCGUCAGGGUCNUUGGCC
rnacentral:rRNA from 1 species